rnacentral:rRNA from 1 species
UACGGAGGAUGCAAGCGUUAUCCGGAAUAAUUGGGCGUAAAGCGUCCGCAGGUGGCAAUGUAAGUCUGCUGUCAAAGCGUCUGGCUCAACCAGAUAAAGGCAGUGGAAACUACAUAGCUAGAGUAAGGUAGGGGUAGAGGGAAUUCCUGGUGUAGCGGUGAAAUGCGUAGAGAUCAGGAAGAACACCGGUGGCGAAAGCGCUCUGCUGGACCUUAACUGACACUGAGGGACGAAAGCUAGGGGAGCGAAUGGG